GCGUGGCGCAGCUACACAUGCAGUCGAGCGGUAGCACGGGGAGCUUGCUCCUGGGUGACGAGCGGCGGACGGGUGAGUAAUGUCUGGGGAUCUGCCUGAUGGAGGGGGAUAACUACUGGAAACGGUAGCUAAUACCGCAUAACGUCGCAAGACCAAAGAGGGGGACCUUCGGGCCUCUUGCCAUCAGAUGAACCCAGAUGGGAUUAGCUAGUAGGUGGGGUAAUGGCUCACCUAGGCGACGAUCCCUAGCUGGUCUGAGAGGAUGACCAGCCACACUGGAACUGAGACACGGUCCAGACUCCUACGGGAGGCAGCAGUGGGGAAUAUUGCACAAUGGGCGCAAGCCUGAUGCAGCCAUGCCGCGUGUAUGAAGAAGGCCUUCGGGUUGUAAAGUACUUUCAGCGAGGAGGAAGGCGUUAAGGUUAAUAACCUUAGCGAUUGACGUUACUCGCAGAAGAAGCACCGGCUAACUCCGUGCCAGCAGCCGCGGUAAUACGGAGGGUGCAAGCGUUAAUCGGAAUUACUGGGCGUAAAGCGCACGCAGGCGGUUUGUUAAGUCGGAUGUGAAAUCCCCGGGCUCAACCUGGGAACUGCAUUCGAAACUGGCAAGCUUGAGUCUUGUAGAGGGGGGUAGAAUUCCAGGUGUAGCGGUGAAAUGCGUAGAGAUCUGGAGGAAUACCGGUGGCGAAGGCGGCCCCCUGGACAAAGACUGACGCUCAGGUGCGAAAGCGUGGGGAGCAAACAGGAUUAGAUACCCUGGUAGUCCACGCCGUAAACGAUGUCGACUUGGAGGUUGUGCCCUUGAGGCGUGGCUUCCGGAGCUAACGCGUUAAGUCGACCGCCUGGGGAGUACGGCCGCAAGGUUAAAACUCAAAUGAAUUGACGGGGGCCCGCACAAGCGGUGGAGCAUGUGGUUUAAUUCGAUGCAACGCGAAGAACCUUACCUACUCUUGACAUCCAGAGAACUUUCCAGAGAUGGAUUGGUGGCCUUCGGGAACUCUGAAACAGGUGCUGCAUGGCUGUCGUCAGCU
rnacentral:rRNA from 1 species